AUUGAACGCUGGCGGCAGGCCUAACACAUGCAAGUCGAACGGCAGCACAGAAGAGCUUGCUCUUUGGGUGGCGAGUGGCGGACGGGUGAGUAAUGUCUGGGAAACUGCCCGAUGGAGGGGGAUAACUACUGGAAACGGUAGCUAAUACCGCAUAACGUCGCAAGACCAAAGUGGGGGACCUUCGGGCCUCACACCAUCGGAUGUGCCCAGAUGGGAUUAGCUAGUAGGUGGGGUAAUGGCUCACCUAGGCGACGAUCCCUAGCUGGUCUGAGAGGAUGAC
rnacentral:rRNA from 1 species